rnacentral:rRNA from 1 species
UACAUGGGGUGCAAACGUUGCUCGGAAUUACUGGGCGUAAAGCGUGCGCAGGCGGCUUUGCAAGACAGAUGUGAAAUCCCCGGGCUCAACCUGGGAACUGCAUUUGUGACUGCAUGGCUAGAGUGCGGCAGAGGGGGAUGGAAUUCCGCGUGUAGCAGUGAAAUGCGUAGAUAUGCGGAGGAACACCGAUGGCGAAGGCAAUCCCCUGGGCCUGCACUGACGCUCAUGCACGAAAGCGUGGGGAGCAAACAGG